ACCAGUAGAAAAUACAACCAAUUCAUGUGAUUAUAUUUAAAAAUUGAUCUACAUAUCAACGAGAACACAGUAUUUUUCCUAUGAGGCACUGGGCACGGGUUUAUGCAUACACUAUACCCGAGCAGAUAUUUCACGGGCACGGAUACCGUGUGUGAUAUACAACAGAGUGGUCGCACUGAUACUUAACCUAAGUUAUCAAACAAGAAGACAAUAAAUAAAAAUAACAAUGUCAGAUGACAAUCCGUAUUCCAAAAAAUAUAACAGCAACAGUAUAUGGUCGGUAGGUUGUAGCCAACUUGGUAAUCAGGGGUACCAGACAAUAAUAGAUCCAGUAGUAAAUAAUAAUCGGAUAUAUAAAGUAUAAAUAAAUCUAAAAUUUCUGACGUGAGUCCGAAAAUGUCUUCGGAAAAUCCGUACUUAAAAAAAUAUAAUGAAA